AGGUGCCAUUCCGAGGGCCAGGGUCUGAUUUUGUGUUGCUCUGGCUGCUAUGGCCCCUC
rnacentral:pre_miRNA from 1 species